UACAGAGGUCGCAAGCGUUAAUCGGAUUUACUGGGCGUAAAGCGUGUGUAGGUGGUUGUGCAAGUCGGUUGUGAAAUCCCCGGGCUCAACCUGGGAAUGGCAUUUGGGACUGCAAGGCUGGAGUUUGGCAGAGGAGACUGGAAUUCCUGGUGUAGCAGUGAAAUGCGUAGAUAUCAGGAGGAAUACCGAUGGCGAAGGCAGGUCUCUGGGCUAUAACUGACGCUCAUGCACGAAAGCGUGGGGAGCAAACAGG
rnacentral:rRNA from 1 species